rnacentral:rRNA from 1 species
UACGUAGGGUGCAAGCGUUGUCCGGAAUUAUUGGGCGUAAAGAGCUCGUAGGCGGUUCGUCGCGUCGGCUGUGAAAUCCCGAGGCUCAACCUCGGGUCUGCAGUCGAUACGGGCGGACUGGAGUUCGGCAGGGGAGACUGGGAAUUCCUGGUGUAGCGGUGAAAUGCGCAGAGUAUCAGGAGGAACACCGGUGGCGAAGGCGGGUCUCUGGGCCGAUACUGACGCUGAGGAGCGAAAGCGUGGGGAGCGAACAGG